AAUUAUCUCACUUUCUUGGGAGCCAAACACUUCCAUCCAUCACUUGAUUAUUCUUUCAAUGCCUUGUGCCAAGCAAAUAAGGAGGUAAUGGACUGGUGGCAAGGCUCCAUGAAAGCAACUAACCACAAAGGCCCCGCUCGUAAAUCAACUCCGGUAACCAACGAAGAGAAGAAGCCUCCUCGUAUAGCAACAUCGUCGCUGCUCACAGAUCUGGUCUUAUUAGAGUUUCGUGGCUUUUAAAAAGAAUUUUAGAAAUCCAAAAGUUUCUUAAGCAAUGUCGUUAAUGAAGGAAAGAUCUGGUUUAUCUCUCAAAGUUCUCCAUAAAUUUCUUAACAAACCCAUUUUGAGAAACCCAUACUUCAAACAGUUCUGGAAAUUUCAAUACCCAUUAAAAAAGGAAAAGAAGGGAUUUGGAGGGAACCGAGCCUUUAAAGCCACUGCCUACAAGUUAUACUUCACGAUUGUGGUCACUACUCCUGUCUUCUUCUUCAAUUACUUUGUUUGAGUUUCAAGUUCGAAUUAUCGAUAUUGUCAGGGCUUGGUGAAGGGAUGAAAUUUAGUGUGAUGGAGAUGAGCAAGAUGAAUCAUCGAAGUUG
rnacentral:lncRNA from 1 species